CUCAAGUACUGGAACGAUGGCCUCAAGUUGACCUUUGAGUGGAACAACACUCUUAUCUUUCUGCAUGUUUGUUGAGAAUUUAGUGAAUAUAGCAACACUCUUGGUAACAAGUCACAGUAAAGAAAAACAAGUGCAGUUCAUCAAUGAAGCAGUAACUGGGUUGGACUGUUUCACAGUAAAUUGAACAGUGCAUUAUCAACUGGAAUCCAUACUCAGUCAUACAGUUCUAAGUUUGAGCCAUAAAACACCAUAGCUACUUGAACAAGAAGCAGGAUGUUGUGAACGAAAGACACAUUCCAUCAUUUCAAGGGAAGUGGACAGAACUCAGGAAUCCUACAGACAACCAACUUAAUUAUUGCAUCAAAAUCACUGUGCAUUUCAUACCUUCAAAUACAGCUUAUGCUCCCCUAGAGUAGCAAUUAGGGAUGCAACUUCAGCUUCUUUGGUGGCCACAGACUGAUGCAGCUGGACCCUAGUCCGAUUGGCAUCGUCCACCUUCCUGCGAUUUGCUGGUUGCCAGAACCAAGAAACAGCAGUGCGUGACUUAUGGAAGCAAUACUGUAAUUGUACUACAAACUUAUGGACAAAAGUAGCAAUCUUAGCAUGUUACAGUUAAGGAAGCAGGCAGUUAAAGAGUACACGUUUUAAUCAUUAGGGCCUGAUUCAUGUACUCCCCAUGAGCAUCUUAAAUGGUAAAUUUAAGCAGUAAUAAAGUUUUCUAACCAAGAAAUUACACUGCAUGGAAAGAAACAGUACUGUUUGAUUUCACAAAAGAGCAUAUUUGCCCGCAUCUAACUGCCUGCCGCACUGGCCUGAACCGAAUCAAUGAAUUGCUUUUUGAGCAGCUGAAGAACCAGGAGGGUAAAAAGAGAGAGCCUUACACACAAAAAAGGGCCUGCGUUUCAGCAAAAGCGACACCAACCAACAAAAACAGGGCAACACAUACAGGAGGAAUACUAACAUACAGAAAAAGGUGCAACUUUUGUGCAACAAGAAUAAGCACAAGAGCACUGAGCUCUUCAGCAUCGCUGAAGAAACUUCGGCUCUGGGACAAACAAACGAGAGAGAUUCACAAGGGUGCCAGAAUCUGCAAAUGAAUUCCUACUGUAACAUUUCACCAGAAAACGUGGUGAAUUCUGAAUGAUUCCGACGAGAAACACGCAUGAAAGAACAAUUUAACAAAACGGAACCUAGAACUGUCACUCCAGAAAGGUAAAUAAGAACCAGGAAGACAGAGGCAGCAUUCAGCACAGGUAAGGAAAAAAAAAGGAAUUGCAGCCAAAGAACUAGUAACACAAGAGGUCAAGAAAACAGAAACUAUACUUCACUCAAGAACAGGAGCAGGAUGAGUACCUGAAGC